UUCGAGGUUACUUUCCGGAGCUGCAGCAUUGACUACGCAGGCCCGCAGUCCCAGUGGGCGACCGCAGUGCGCUCCACGGCAUCUGGAGGUUGUGCUCCUAGUGAUAGUGAGCAGGUGACUGGGUUGGAGAGGGAGGUUAUGAUGGCUGCACUGAAGGGACUGGACCCUACAACAUACUAACCCCAAAGGCAGCCUCAGGAACCAAGAAGGAGCCUAAUUUGGUCCUAUCCAUCACCAACAAGCAAAUAGGGGGCUGUGUCUGUGAAGAGGACAACAGCGUCAUCAUCUGGUUUUGGCUGUGCAAAGGCAAGACCCAGCAAUGCCUUAAUUGUGGAAUCCAUUAGAAGGUGGUGUCCCAGCAGGUGGC
rnacentral:lncRNA from 1 species